CCUUAAUGGUCCUGAAGCUCUGCGGAUUGCCUGAAUCCUUUUUGAAGCUCCUGAAAACUCAGACCCCUCUCUACAUCCUGCCUUUCCUGGGACCUGAGGACCAAGAGUCAGCUCUGCCCCCGGGGAUCUCCACACUGAGUCAUCCUUUGCUUCAGUUUGCCGGGGCAAAGUCCUCUGCAGCCACUCUGGCCAGGUCACCAAGGGGCCCUCUGCUGGGACAAGGAGGCCUGGUCACCGCUAUCCCCAGCACCACAGCAACAGGCCGGGUCCAGAGCAGUGCUCAGGAUCUGUUGUUGCCAGACUGAAAUUUCCUCUAAGGAUCGCCACUGAGCCCUGCCCGAUGAGAAACUGAGGCCUUUACCUUUGAAGAGGAGGUUGGCCUUGGGCAGGUCUAGCUGGUACCCGAAGGAGACACUGGUAUCCUGCAUCCUUGUGCUGGCCUCGAACUCCACGCCCACCUGCAGCUGGAGAAGCCAGGACAAGGCCCAGGGCUUCGCAGACCCUGCCUCGGGAACUCUUUGCUGAACCCCACCAGCACCGCUCUGCUGGGACACUGUGUCCAGCUGAGGGGGACUGAGGAGCCACCUAUGCUUGAUAUGGAGCUGUCAGCUUAGAAUCUCUGAUCCCUGCUACGGACAUCAGGCAACCUGAGUACACAGUGAUGCUUCCAGCUGCGGAUGCAGGGCCAGAGACAGCUUUCAUCGACUGCUUCGCCAAGAGGUGGCCAGUGACCCCACUGUGCCCACUUACAGAGGACACCGAGGCUCAGUGCGGCUGGCGAAGUUUUUGUUGACAAGUGACUGGAGUGCUCGGCACGGAAGGGCCUGUUUCUGUUAGGCUUGAGCCAGGGCCAGGCCAGGGUGAAGGCUGCCCAUGCCAAGGGUGGCAACAGUGGAAGAUGCCACCUGGGGCCACCUCACCUGGAGGGACGCUGCCUGGUGCCCUGAGACAACGCCCUAGCCAGAGUUGUCCAGGCCCAGAAUUCUGGAGUCACUCACCUCCUCUCUUAUCCUCCACACCCAACUGUCAGCAAAGCCCAUCAGCUCCGCUGAGAACCCACCUGCACCUCACUCCUCCCUGCCCUUGGAGCAGAAGCCCCUGGGGUCACAAGAGUCUCAUCAGAAGCCGUCAGACCCUCGAGCCGCCCCAGCCCUGCUCAAGGAAAGGCCCUGUGACCAUCCUCUCCUAACACAUUUACAGGCCCUGCCCCUUCCGCUCCCUUACCCGGAAGAGCUGUCUGCCCAGCCACCCGCCUGGCUCCUUCCCUGUCCUUCAGGCUUGGUUCAGAUGUCGCCUGCAGAGUGAGGCCUUCUCCCAGGACUGCCCACUCCUUCCCAGGUCCCAGUCUUUUCCCAGAGCCCCUUUCUUUUCACAUUACUGGGGACUAAACCCAGAGCCUUUCCACUGAGCUACAUCUCAGACGCUUUUUUUGAGACAGGGUCUCACUAAGUCACUAACUUGCCCAGGCUGGACUGGGAUGGAAUGGUGAUAGUCCUGCCUCAGCC